UACAGAGACUGCAAGCGUAUUGCGGAUUCACUGGGCGUAAAGGGUGCGCAGGCGGUUGGGUGUGUCAGAUGUGAAAUCCCGAGGCUUAACCUCGGAACUGCGUCUGAAACUACUCGACUAGAGUACUGGAGAGGGAAACGGAAUUCACGGUGUAGCAGUGAAAUGCGUAGAUAUCGUGAGGAACACCAGAGGCGAAGGCGGUUUCCUGGACAGUUACUGACGCUCAGGCACGAAAGCAUGGGGAGCAAAAGGG
rnacentral:rRNA from 1 species